AUUGAACGCUGGCGGCAGACUUAACACAUGCAAGUCGAGCGGGCGAGGUUGCUUCGGUAACUGAGCUAGCGGCGGACGGGUGAGUAAUGCUUAGGAAUCUGCCUAUUAGUGGGGGACAACAUUCCGAAAGGGAUGCUAAUACCGCAUACGUCCUACGGGAGAAAGCAGGGGAUCACUUGUGACCUUGCGCUAAUAGAUGAGCCUAAGUCGGAUUAGCUAGUUGGUGGGGUAAAGGCCUACCAAGGCGACGAUCUGUAGCGGGUCUGAGAGGAUGAUCCGCCACACUGGGACUGAGACACGGCCCAGACUCCUACGGGAGGCAGCAGUGGGGAAUAUUGGACAAUGGGGGGAACCCUGAUCCAGCCAUGCCGCGUGUGUGAAGAAGGCCUUUUGGUUGUAAAGCACUUUAAGCGAGGAGGAGGCUCUCUUGGUUAAUACCUGAGAAGAGUGGACGUUACUCGCAGAAUAAGCACCGGCUAACUCUGUGCCAGCAGCCGCGGUAAUACAGAGGGUGCGAGCGUUAAUCGGAUUUACUGGGCGUAAAGCGCGCGUAGGUGGUUAAUUAAGUCAAAUGUGAAAUCCCCGAGCUUAACUUGGGAAUUGCAUUCGAUACUGGUUAGCUAGAGUAUGGGAGAGGAUGGUAGAAUUCCAGGUGUAGCGGUGAAAUGCGUAGAGAUCUGGAGGAAUACCGAUGGCGAAGGCAGCCAUCUGGCCUAAUACUGACACUGAGGUGCGAAAGCAUGGGGAGCAAACAGG
rnacentral:rRNA from 1 species